AUACGGAGGAUCCGAGCGUUAUCCGGAUUUAUUGGGUUUAAAGGGUGCGUAGGUGGACAGGUCAGUCAGGGGUGAAAGUUUGCAGCUUAACUGUAAAAUUGCCUUUGAUACUGCUUGUCUUGAGUGCAAAUGAGGUAGGCGGAAUGCGUUGUGUAGCGGUGAAAUGCUUAGAUAUGACACAGAACUCCGAUUGCGAAGGCAGCUUACUGGGAUGCAACUGACACUGAGGCACGAAGGCGUGGGGAUCAAACAGGAUUAGAUACCCUGGUAGUCCACGCAGUAAACGAUGAUUACUCGCUGUUUGCGAUACACAGCAAGCGGCUUAGCGAAAGCGUUAAGUAAUCCACCUGGGGAGUACGUUCGCAAGAAUGAAACUCAAAUGAAUUGGCGGGG
rnacentral:rRNA from 1 species